ACUUGGAUAUCUUAUGUAGAGUACAACGUUGAAGGUGUUGUUGAGGUCGUUAUGGCCUUCAAGUG
rnacentral:tRNA from 1 species